UGGGGAAUAUUGCACAAUGGGCGCAAGCCUGAUGCAGCAACGCCGCGUGAGGGAUGACGGCCUUCGGGUUGUAAACCUCUUUUAGUAGGGAAGAAGCGAAAGUGACGGUACCUGCAGAAAAAGCACCGGCUAACUACGUGCCAGCAGCCGCGGUAAUACGUAGGGUGCGAGCGUUGUCCGGAAUUAUUGGGCGUAAAGAGCUCGUAGGCGGUCUGUCGCGUCUGCUGUGAAAACCCGAGGCUCAACCUCGGGCCUGCAGUGGGUACGGGCAGACUAGAGUGCGGUAGGGGAGAAUGGAAUUCCUGGUGUAGCGGUGGAAUGCGCAGAUAUCAGGAGGAACACCGAUGGCGAAGGCAGUUCUCUGGGCCGUAACUGACGCUGAGGGAAGCGACUGGGGAGCGAACAGGAUUAGAUACCCUGGUAGUCCACGCCGUAAACGUUGGGCGCUAGAUGUGGGGACCAUUCCACGGUUUCCGUGUCGCAGCUAACGCAUUAAGCGCCCCGCCUGGGGAGUACGGCCGCAAGGCUAAAACUU
rnacentral:rRNA from 1 species